ensembl:snoRNA
AUUUUGUUAAAGUUCAUAAUCAUGAUGGUUGGGUGUUCACAUGCACACAUUGAGAUGUGCCUCCCUCAAACUUUGUCAUGACCUCUGCAUAUUACCCAUCUGACA